rnacentral:lncRNA from 7 species
AUUCAAAUAUUACAAUUCUGGAUGGUGACUUAGAAGCAAUGAUUCAAAUGGAGCGUAGGAAACAGAUAUCGAACUAACAAGUAAUAAUCUCACUUAAGGGUGUUUCACUUUGUGUUGAACUGUAGACAUAGAAAGAAGAAUUAAGACAAGCGAAGAAGAAUGAAGAGAAGCAGGUGAGAGAAAAAGUUGUGCAGGUGCAAGUGCACCGUACAGAAAGCAUACUACCAUCUAAUCCUUUCAACUAUCAUUUUAGCAUCA